UACGAAGGGAACUAGCGUUGUUCGGAAUCACUGGGCGUAAAGCGGGCGCAGGCGGACUGUCAAGUCAGGGGUGAAAUCCUGAGGCUUAACCUCAGAAUUGCCUUUGAAACUGACAGUCUGGAGUGUGUGAGGGGGUAGCGGAAUUCCGAAUGUAGAGGUGAAAUUCGUAGAUAUUCGGAGGAACACCGGUGGCGAAGGCGGCUACCUGGCACACAACUGACGCUGAGGCCCGAAAGCGUGGGGAUCAAACAGG
rnacentral:rRNA from 1 species